UCGGCCCCGGUUCACGUGCACGCAGCCCGCGUGUGCGACCCGGUGCC
rfam:Streptomyces sp. CC53 NODE_227_length_4232_cov_138.240784, whole genome shotgun sequence.